rnacentral:pre_miRNA from 1 species
AUAAAACACAUGAAGGACGAACACAGACGCACACAGUUCUUUCAAAGAACUGUGUGCGUCUGUGUUCGUCCUUCAUGUGUUUUAUUCUUUCUGUG